rnacentral:tRNA from 1 species
CUGUAGUUCAGUUGGUAGAACGGCGGACUGUUAAUCCGUAUGUCACUGGUUCGAGUCCAGUC